CCGUAGCCGGCCAGACAAGUCCGUUGGGAAAUCCACGCGCUCAACGCGUGGGCGUCCAGCGGAAACUAUCUGGCUUGGGGCCGGAAGACUCGAGGGGUACGUCCGGGGUAGGAGUGAAAUCCCGUAAUCCUGGACGGACCACCGGUGGCGAAAGCGCCUCGAGAAGACGGACCCGACGGUGAGGGACGAAAGCCAGGGUCUCGAACCGGAUUAGAUACCCGGGUAGUCCUGGCCGUAAACGAUGUCCGCUAGGUGUGGCGCAGGCUACGAGCCUGCGCUGUGCCGUAGGGAAGCCGAGAAGCGGACCGCCUGGGAAGUACGUCUGCAAGGAUGAAACUUAAAGGAAUUGGCGGGGGAGCACUACAACCGGAGGAGCCUGCGGUUUAAUUGGACUCAACGCCGGACAUCUCACCAGCACCGACAGUGUGCAGUGAAGAUCAGGUUGAUGACCUUAUUGGAGCCACUGAGAGGAGGUGCAUGGCCGCCGUCAGCUCGUACCGUGAGGCGUCCUGUUAAGUCAGGCAACGAGCGAGACCCGCACUCCUAGUUGCCAGCAACACCUUGCGGUGGUUGGGUACACUAGGAGGACUGCCGUGGCUAACACGGAGGAAGGAACGGGCAACGGUAGGUCAGUAUGCCCCGAAUGUGCUGGGCAACACGCGGGCUACAAUGGCCGGGACAGUGGGACGCCAAUCCGAGAGGAUGCGCUAAUCCCCUAAACCCGGUCGUAGUUCGAAUUGAGGGCUGAAACUCGCCCUCAUGAAGCUGGAUUCGGUAGUAAU
rnacentral:rRNA from 1 species